CGCUCAUGCGGAGGCGAACCACUAUACUUCGCUUGUGUCGCUCUCUCUAUCUUUACUUAUCGUUAAUUAGAUCCCCCAACGGAUCCAAGCGUUAACAUUGGCGCCGUCUGUGGGAAGCCAACACAAAGGCUUCGUCACCUACCACGAACUUUGACCCGAAAGUGUCGAGUCAACACUCGUUCAACAUCAAAUAAGAACCGGUCAAUGCUUGGUCAACGCUGGAGAUGGUCGGUCAACGCCCGGCAGAGCCGGUCAAAGCCCGGCGGGGUCGGUCAACGCCAGUCAAGGUUGGUCAACGCCCAACCCAUGAAAGUCAACGCUGGCACCACCAAAAAAAAAAGCAAAAAAAAAUCUGGGCGGCCAAAUUUGCUCUGGACACCCAGAGAACUUCUCUAGGCACCCAUGGCCAUUCUUCACUCAUCAUCAGCGGCACCGCCACACUAGUUCAACGGCAACAUAAAGCUUGCACCGCCAACUUCUGUCAGCGGCACCGCUGAACGCCCCAACCCCAGUCAUGGCACCGCUAAAACACCAGCAGCGCCGAGCUCCUCCGCUGAACUUCGCUACGCUCCGCCGAACUUCUCACCCGCUGAGCUCCGAGUCUUCCGCCGAACUUCGAUCCGCCGCUGAGCUAGCAUGCUCCGGACUCAACUCCUCCGCUGACCAUGCUCCACCGCUGACCAUCACUUCCGCCGAACUUAGUCAGCGGCACCGCUAAACUACACGACUCCGCUGAGUCACCGCUGAGCAUUACCGCCAACCAAGGCUUCCUCCGCCGAGCCCCGCUCCGCCGAGCUGCUCCACCGCUGAACUCUCCUCCGCUGACCAUCUUGACCCACCGUGCAAAACCUCCUCCGCUAGCGGGAAACUUCUCCGCUAGGCUUCGUCAGCCG
rnacentral:lncRNA from 1 species